ensembl:snRNA U6 U6 spliceosomal RNA
GUACUCACUUCAGCAACACAUAUACUAGAAUUGGAAUGAUAUGGAGAUUAGCAUGGCCUCUGAGCAAGGAUGACACGUAAAUUCAUGGAGCAUUCAAUAUUUUU